rnacentral:rRNA from 1 species
AAUGAACGCUGGCGGCAUGCCUUACACAUGCAAGUCGAACGGCAGCAUGACCUCGCUUGCUAGGUUGAUGGCGAGUGGCGAACGGGUGAGUAAUGCAUCGGAACGUGCCUUUUAGUGGGGGAUAACGUAGCGAAAGUUACGCUAAUACCGCAUAUUCUCUGAGGAGGAAAGCAGGGGGCCUUCGGGCCUUGCGCUAGAAGAGCGGCCGAUGUCGGAUUAGCUAGUUGGUGAGGUAAAGGCUCACCAAGGCAACGAUCCGUAGCGGGUCUGAGAGGAUGAUCCGCCACACUGGGACUGAGACACGGCCCAGACUCCUACGGGAGGCAGCAGUGGGGAAUUUUGGACAAUGGGCGCAAGCCUGAUCCAGCCAUGCCGCGUGAGUGAAGAAGGCCUUCGGGUUGUAAAGCUCUUUCGGCUGGGAAGAAAUCGCACUCUCUAAUACAGGGUGUGGAUGACGGUACCAGCAUAAGAAGCACCGGCUAACUACGUG